CGGGUGAUGGAAUAAUUUUAGAGUUAGUGGGGUAAAAUUUCAAAAUGGGGAAACCCUAAGUUUUUUCUCUUUCUCUUUCUUCUGAAAAAGAGGCAGUCGUCGCCCACCCAAAACCUAACUGCCCUUCACUGAUCUUCGACAACCCCUCCACUAUAAUGCCGUUUCCGGCGAGCUACAAAAUCCAAACGAACAAACCGAAGCUCGAACUCCAAGCUCGCGAGCAAGAACAACCCCCAAUGCUCAAAAACCACUAUUUCUCUCCCCCACCAAAAUUCAAAGCCAACCUAGCUUAAAAAAACCACCACCAAACUCCGACGAAACCCUGUCCCUUUUUCCGUUUCUCCUAACAACAACCAGACCCCAAAUCCCAUUCCUUUCUACUCUGUCCAACCACACCAACGACUCCAUUAGCGAGCCGGCGAGAUCUAAGCUCGCACCGCCAAAACAACAACCAACCAAAUCCAAUAGAAAUCAACGCACCUCUGCCGUUCAACUCCAAGCUCUGGCAAACAAAGCCAAUGGAUCUUAACACCACCACUGCGCCUCUCUUCUUUGUUGAAUAGGUACCCAACCCAGAGUUGCUUCUCGAGGAAGUUGUUCGAAUAAAAUUUGAAUAAUAUUUUUUAUUUUGUUAUUGUAUAUAUUAUUGACAUAGACAAAUAUUAGGCCAUUUCUCAUAUUAUUGAUUUAUUUUAUUCUUUACGUA